GACGAACGCUGGCGGCGUGCCUAAUACAUGCAAGUAGAACGCUGAAGAGAGGAGCUUACUCUUCUUGGAUGAGUUGCGAACGGGUGAGUAACGCGUAGGUAACCUGCCGUGUAGCGGGGGAUAACUAUUGGAAACGAUAGCUAAUACCGCAUAACAAUGGAUGACACAUGUCAUUUAUUUGAAAGGGGCAAUUGCUCCACUACAAGAUGGACCUGCGUUGUAUUAGCUAGUAGGUGAGGUAAUGGCUCACCUAGGCGACGAUACAUAGCCGACCUGAGAGGGUGAUCGGCCACACUGGGACUGAGACACGGCCCAGACUCCUACGGGAGGCAGCAGUAGGGAAUCUUCGGCAAUAGGGGCAACCCUGACCGAGCAACGCCGCGUGAGUGAAGAAGGUUUUCGGAUCGUAAAGCUCUGUUGUAAGUCAAGAACGGGUGUGAGAGUGGAAAGUUCACACUGUGACGGUAGCUUACCAGAAAGGGACGGCUAACUACGUG
rnacentral:rRNA from 1 species